UUAAGUUAUUAAGGGCGCACGGUGGAUGCCUUGGCACUAGAAGCCGAUGAAGGACGUUACUAACGACGAUAUGCUUUGGGUAGCUGUAAGUAAGCGUUGAUCCAGAGAUUUCCGAAUGGGGGAACCCAGCAUGAGUUAUGUCAUGUUAUCGACAUGUGAAUUCAUAGCAUGUCAGAAGGCAGACCCGGAGAACUGAAACAUCUUAGUACCCGGAGGAAGAGAAAGAAAAAUCGAUUCCCUGAGUAGCGGCGAGCGAAACGGGAAGAGCCCAAACCAACAAGCUUGCUUGUUGGGGUUGUAGGACACUCUAUACGGAGUUACAAAAGAACAUGUUAGACGAAUCAUCUGGAAAGAUGAAUCAAAGAAGGUAAUAAUCCUGUAGUCGAAAACAUAUUCUCUCUUGAGUGGAUCCUGAGUACGACGGAGCACGUGAAAUUCCGUCGGAAUCUGGGAGGACCAUCUCCUAAGGCUAAAUACUCUCUAGUGACCGAUAGUGAACCAGUACCGUGAGGGAAAGGUGAAAAGUACCCCGGAAGGGGAGUGAAAGAGAACUUGAAACCGUGUGCUUACAAGUAGUCAGAGCCCGUUAAUGGGUGAUGGCGUGCCUUUUGUAGAAUGAACCGGCGAGUUACGAUCUGAUGCAAGGUUAAGCAGCAAAUGUGGAGCCGCAGCGAAAGCGAGUCUGAAUAGGGCGUUGAGUAUUUGGUCGUAGACCCGAAACCAGGUGAUCUACCCUUGGUCAGGUUGAAGUUCAGGUAACACUGAAUGGAGGACCGAACCGACUUACGUUGAAAAGUGAGCGGAUGAACUGAGGGUAGCGGAGAAAUUCCAAUCGAACUUGGAGAUAGCUGGUUCUCUCCGAAAUAGCUUUAGGGCUAGCCUCAAGUGAUGAUUAUUGGAGGUAGAGCACUGUUUGGACGAGGGGCCCCUCUCGGGUUACCGAAUUCAGACAAACUCCGAAUGCCAAUUAAUUUAACUUGGGAGUCAGAACAUGGGUGAUAAGGUCCGUGUUCGAAAGGGAAACAGCCCAGACCACCAGCUAAGGUCCCAAAAUAUAUGUUAAGUGGAAAAGGAUGUGGCGUUGCCCAGACAACUAGGAUGUUGGCUUAGAAGCAGCCAUCAUUUAAAGAGUGCGUAAUAGCUCACUAGUCGAGUGACACUGCGCCGAAAAUGUACCGGGGCUAAACAUAUUACCGAAGCUGUGGAUUGUCCUUUGGACAAUGGUAGGAGAGCGUUCUAAGGGCGUCGAAGCAUGAUCGCAAGGACAUGUGGAGCGCUUAGAAGUGAGAAUGCCGGUGUGAGUAGCGAAAGACGGGUGAGAAUCCCGUCCACCGAUUGACUAAGGUUUCCAGAGGAAGGCUCGUCCGCUCUGGGUUAGUCGGGUCCUAAGCUGAGGCCGACAGGCGUAGGCGAUGGAUAACAGGUUGAUAUUCCUGUACCACCUAGUAUCGUUUUAAUCGAUGGGGGGACGCAGUAGGAUAGGCGAAGCGUGCUGUUGGAGUGCACGUCCAAGCAGUAAGGCUGAGUGUUAGGCAAAUCCGGCACUCAUAAGGCUGAGCUGUGAUGGGGAGAGGAAAUUGUUUCCUCGAGUCGUUGAUUUCACACUGCCGAGAAAAGCCUCUAGAUAGAUAACAGGUGCCCGUACCGCAAACCGACACAGGUAGUCAAGAUGAGAAUUCUAAGGUGAGCGAGCGAACUCUCGUUAAGGAACUCGGCAAAAUGACCCCGUAACUUCGGGAGAAGGGGUGCUCUUUAGGGUUCACGCCCAGAAGAGCCGCAGUGAAUAGGCCCAAGCGACUGUUUAUCAAAAACACAGGUCUCUGCUAAACCGUAAGGUGAUGUAUAGGGGCUGACGCCUGCCCGGUGCUGGAAGGUUAAGAGGAGUGGUUAGCUUCUGCGAAGCUACGAAUCGAAGCCCCAGUAAACGGCGGCCGUAACUAUAACGGUCCUAAGGUAGCGAAAUUCCUUGUCGGGUAAGUUCCGAC
rnacentral:rRNA from 1 species